rnacentral:rRNA from 1 species
AGGAAAAAAGGUCAAUUCCAGGUGAUCUGGGCCUCUUCUAGUAGCGGUACACACANGUUACAAUGGUGCAUCCAGAGGGCGGCCAACUUGUGAAAGUGAGCGAAUCCUAAAAAGUGCGUCGUAGUCCGGAUUGGAGUCUGCAACUCGACUCCAUGAAGUGGGAAUAGCUAGUAAUNGUGGAUCAGAAUGCCACCGUGAAUACGUUUUUCGGGCCUUGUACACACCGCCCGUCACACCAUGGGAGUGGGCUUCAAAAGAAGUGGGUAGUUUAACNUNUUGGGAGGACGCUCACCACUUUGUCUUCAUGACUNCNNUU